UAGGGAAAACAGAAAGGUUGCAAAUCUCCUGACAGAACAGUGCAUAGACUGCAGGCCGUGAUUCCUAUUUAAAACAGAGUGUCCGAUGUACAGAUUCACUUGAUUUGUAUUUAAAUGGGGAAGUGUGCUACCAGCUAGCAAAAGCUUUAUGUGGGAGAAAGAGAUGAAAACUGGUGCCAAAGAAUAGUGAGAGCCAUCACUGCCUUAUCACCUAUCUCUGGAGCUAUGCGUAACUCCCCAGCCAGACGCUAAGCUGAGCUCAGGGCCUGAAGAAAUAAAAAGAAACAACAAAUAAUGACUGGAAGUUACUAUAAUGAAAGCCAGG